AGAGUAUUCCCUCUGUUCGGAAUUACUUGUCGCAGAAAUGGAUGUAUCUAGACAUAUUUUAGUUCUAGAUACAUCCAUUUCCGAGACAAGUAAUUCCAAACAGAGGGAGUACUGU
rnacentral:pre_miRNA from 1 species